AAAUGACUAGUACGGCGAGUGAAGCGGCAACAGCUCAAAUUUGAAAUCUGGCCUUCGGGUCCGAAUUGUAAUUUGUAGAGGAUGCUUUGGGUGCGGUACCUUCCGAGUUCCCUGGAACGGGACGCCGGAGAGGGUGAGAGCCCCGUACGGUUGGAUACCAAGCCUAUGUAUAGCUCCUUCGACGAGUCGAGUAGUUUGGGAAUGCUGCUCUAAAUGGGAGGUAAAUUUCUUCUAAAGCUAAAUACCGGCCAGAGACCGAUAGCGCACAAGUAGAGUGAUCGAAAGAUGAAAAGCACUUUGAAAAGAGGGUUAAAUAGCACGUGAAAUUGUUGAAAGGGAAGCGUUUGCGACCAGACCUUUUCCAGGCGGAUCAUCCGGUGUUCUCACCGGUGCACUUCGCCUGGUUUAGGCCAGCAUCGGUUUUCUUAGGGGGAUAAAGGUUUAGGGCACGUAGCUCCUUCGGGAGUGUUAUAGCCCUCUACGUAAUACCCUUCGGGGGACCGAGGACCGCGCAUUGCAAGGAUGCUGGCGUAAUGGUCGUCAACGACCC
rnacentral:rRNA from 1 species